rnacentral:rRNA from 1 species
GAUCACCAGUUAAGGCCCCAAAAUAACUACUAAGUGAUAAAGGAUGUAUUGGUACAUAGACAACCAGGAGGUUUGCUUAGAAACAGCAAUUCCUUUAAAAAUAGCGUAAUAGUUUACUGGUCAAGUGCCUUUGCGCCGAUAAUGAACGGGGCUAAGUAGUUUGCCGAAGCUGUGGGUAAAUACGGUAGAAGAGCGUUCUGUUUAGAUUGAAGUAAUAGUGAAAACAGUUAUGGACUUAACAGAAGCGAGAAUGUCGGCUUAAGUAACGAAAACAUUGGUGAGAAUCCAAUGCUCCGAAAACCCAAGGUUUCCUUCGCAAGGUUCGUCCUCGGAGGGUUAGUCAGGUCCUAAGAUCAGGCCGAAAGGCGUAGUCGAUGGUUAACAGGUUAAUAUUCCUGUACUACAAGUAUUUGCGUACGGAUAACGAAGAAGGCUAAACUUACCAGAAUUUGGUUUUUUUGGUCUAAAUUCUCGAGGUGUUGAUAAAAAUUAAAUAAAAAAUUUUUUGAGCUGAGAAAUGAAUGGUAGAGUGUUACGACAUUUGAAAAGUUGAUGUCAUACUUCCUAGAAAAAUCCUUGUGCGUGACAAUAAGUUGUACCUGUACCGUAAACUGACACAGGUGGGUGGGUAGAGUAUACUAAGGAGCGCGAGCUAACUCUUUUUAAGGAACUCGGCAAAAUAGUCUUGUAACUUCGGGAGAAAAGAUGCCUUGUAUAAUAUACAAGGUCGCAGCGACCAGAUCUAGGCGACUGUUUACCAAAAACACAGGUCUCAGCAAAGUCGAAAGACGAAGUAUUGGGGCUGACGCCUGCCCAGUGCUAGAAGGUUAAAGAAACUGGUUAGCUUUUUGCAAAGCUGGUGACUGAAGCCCUAGUGAACGGCAGCAAUAACUAUGAUUGUUCUAUGGUAGCGAAAUUCCUUGUCGGGUAAGUUCCGACCCGCACGAAAGGCGUAACGAUCUAGAAACUGUCUCAAAAAGAGGCUCGGUGAAAUAGAAUUAACUGUGAAGAUGCGGUUAACUUGCACUUGGACAGAAAGACCCUAUGAAGCUUUACUGUAACUUGAUAUUGAUUUUGGACUUUUUUUGCGCAGCAUAGGUGGGAGGCUUUGAUGCUUUCUUUCGGGAAAGUUGAGCCAACAGUGAGAUACCACUCUGAAAAAGUUAGAAGUCUAAUGACAUUUCUUUUGAAUCAGAAUGUUUGACAUUGUCAGGCGGGCAGUUUUACUGGGGCGGUAGCCUCCUAAAAGGUAACGGAGGCGUACAAAGGUUUUCUCAGACUGGACGGAAAUUUGUUGCAGAGUAUAAAGGCAAAAGAAAGCUUAACUGUUAGACUUACAAGUCAAGCAGAGACGAAAGUCGGUCUUAGUGAUCCGACGAUGCCGAAUGUAAGGGUCGUCGCUUAACGGAUAAAAGUUACUCUAGGGAUAACAGGCUGAUCUCCUCCAAGAGUUCACAUCGACGAGGAGGUUUGGCACCUCGAUGUCGGCUCAUCGCAACCUGGAGCGGUAGUACGUUCCAAGGGUCGGGCUGUUCGCCCGUUAAAGCGGUACGUGAGCUGGGUUCAGAACGUCGAGAGACAGUUCGGUCCAUAUCCGGUGUGAGCGUUAGAAUAUUGAGGUUAGAUUUUUCUAGUACGAGAGGACCGAAAAAUACACACCGCUGGUGUACCAGUUUUCAUACCAAUGAAAAAUGCUGGGUAGUCAUGUGUG